rnacentral:lncRNA from 1 species
AAUUUAAUUGGGUAAAGGGAAAAUUUAUGCAUACAGUUUUGUGUGUUUUUUUUUUACCCUCAGACAUGAACAAGUGCCCUCAGUGGUAUAGAAGAAAUGGAAAUGGAAACUCUGCUCACCUGGCAUUAAAUUUAGGUGUUUCUCAGCAUCUUUGGCAUUUGGAGCAAAAAGUGAGUUUUGCUCGAUGUUCCAACUGGUAUGUCCUGGACUGGCACCCAUUCCUGCUCUCUUAUUUAGAAGACCAGUUUUUCAUUGGUGAGGAAGUAUUCUCUGUGCGUAAAAACUGAAAAG